CGCGCCGCGGCGGCGCGGCCCACGGUAUCUACAAUAAUGCCUAGUGCCUAGUGGGGCGCUCAGCAGGUAUCUGUCCAUGAAUGAUCUCACUGCUUAGAUCCUGCCCUGGCUUAGAGUCCUCACCACCUUGAUCUCCUCUCGAGUAGAGUGGGAGCUGGAGUCAUGGGACGAUGGGGCGACAGGUGAUACAGAUUUUUCUUAAGAAUCGAUCCCUGAAUGUACAAGGCUCCGGCCCAGGUCCAAGAAGAGCACGGGGGUCUACCGGCGUCCCUACUGCAGACCACGGCUGGCGUCAACGCAGCCUCCUGUUCCGGCUUUGGCAGCGCAUCAGACCAUCGGCUCUUACCCACUCAUGGCCACAGACAGCUGCAAGGGAGAGGGAGAGAGUCACUCUCUUCCCGUAGCCCUCUGCCUCUUACCCCGCUUACUCCCGAAUGCCGUGCUCUCCUUUGUCCACUGCUCCUCCCUCCCGCCUUUACGUGGAGCCCUGCUGGAGCCCGCCUUCAGCCUCCGCUCCGCUCGUCUCCACCCCUGUCCUUUCGCAGGCCUCACUCACACUCAGGACAUCAACCACCAUGCCCCACAAAGCUCCCAGGUCUGCAGCCUCCGGCUUCAUCUUAGGCUGUGUGCCGGGCUCAUCCACCUGGAUGUGCCAUCGUCACCUCAAACUCUUGUCCUCAAUUUUUCCGUUAGAAACAUUUCUUCUCUGCAAACCUUGCUUUUUGCUCAGUGUGCCCACCUGGCAUCAUAGUUCAAGAAUGCCAUCUUCUUUUCGUCACUAAAAGUAUUAUGUAGUUAAUAGUUAAUAGCUUCAAUUACAUAGAAUCAUAGAAACUGUUCAUGGAAUAUCCAGCAUUUCAUAUUUUUCCAGUAGGGAGCGUUUCUUCACUAAAUCCCAAUGUCAUACCAGAAAACUAAUUAGUUUUAUAGGGGAAGUGAAA